rnacentral:lncRNA from 1 species
GUUGCAUGCCAGCUCAGUGGGUGGAAGGGUAUAAAUCUCAGCUACUCUGAGCCCUGCCACAUGUGCACCUAAGACUUCCAACAGCAACAUGAAGUUGGGAGGCUUCCUUCUCCUUGUGGCACUCAUCUUCCUCAGCCUUGAGUUACAGGAGCUUCAGGCUGCGGUGAGACCAUUGCAACUUUUGGGUGAGUCCAGCCAGAAAGUGGCCCUAUUCUUCAAAUGAAAACUCUAGAACGUAGAAUUUCAGGUACCAGUGUGUGCAGGAGGAAUGGGGAGAAGGAGGAAAGAUUCUCCUUAAACAGACAUUGAGAGGACCCCACACACACACACACACACACACUUUGGUGGCCACCACGCAGCUUCCCUGAGCAGGAGUUCUCUCCUGCCCCUGCUUUCUCUCCCUCUUUCCCCCGGUUCAUUCCGCCAUCUGGACUCUCUGUUCUUCUCCUUCUGUCCCCUCAUCAGCCAUCCUCCAUCUCCCUCUUCACUAGCUUCUUUCUUGAAUUAUCUGGAGAAAAUAUUUGCUUUAGCAUGCUAAACAUGAACCAUCACGACUUCUUCUCCCUUUACCACCACCAUUUUCAAAGGAGUAUUCUUAAUUCUCUGUAACUUGGUUCCUAACAGCUUGAAGAGAAUAAUGGCUUCAGGAGAAUAAUGGGGGCAUGAAUCCAGGCUGUGGAUUCCUGCCGCCAUUAUUCUCCUGAAGCUUCUCCCCGUGGUCCCCUUGACAAAUCCCCUGACUUCUCAAUUGCAAAGUCUUCAACCUCCACAGCAUCUACUAUUCUUUGCCCUCCUUUAGUCCUCAAGCUUUCUUCUCUCCUUGAUUAUCUUUCACUGUAUCUUAUUCUUCUCCCUAAAUAUUAGAGGAUUCAAUUUACUCCUCUCUCUUCUUUGCUCUUUUCCCCCGACCCCAUCCCAUUUUGGUUCAUUCUUUGAAACUGUUUCUUCACCUGCUCCUUCAACUCUCGAUGCCCCACUGUUUCUGGCCUGAUUGCUCCAUCUCAACAGCUUCUAACACCUUUCCCUAACUCUAUAGAGUUUUCCUUUUGCAGUUUGCAUGGCUGUUAAAUCCUGCUCCAUCCUAUUCUCCCACACCAGAAUGAUCCUCCCAAGUGAAUAGCCUCUCUUGGCCUAUCAAAUGAAAUCCCAAGUCCACAGGUCCUGGACAUCUGCCUGCCUUUUUUUGUUUGUUUGUCCCCUGCUUCCAUUUCCUGCUUAGCUUCCAGCUACUCAUAAUACUUAUGCAGACUUCCAAUUGCCAUUCCUCCUGGAUUCCUCUUAUUCCAGGGUGGGGAGUGAGACCGAUGAGGUGCCUAGGGUUCAAGAUUUAAAGCUGCACUAGAUCGCAAGGUUGUGCACAAGUUCCUCCUUAAGUUUUGGACGCUAUGCACGUCACUGACCUCCCCCUCACUCCAACCCGGUUGCAUUUUUCCAUUGUGAAUUUUUGCUAGUAAUUCUUUUCUCACAACACUCCACCUGCCUCCUCCCACUAAUUCUGCCUUCAAAAUAUCCCUGCUCUUCAAGAUUCACCUUUUACAAUUACUCUAAUUGGAAGUAAUGACUUACUUCCUCUGAGUCCCCUGAGUCCUCUGGAUCUACCUCUCUUGGGACACUUGUGAAAUAUUGUUGGGUUUUUUUUUUAACAUUUAAAAAAAUUUUUUUAAAUUGUAGACGGGCACACUACCUUUGUUUUAUCUAUCUAUCUAUCUAUCUAUCUAUCUAUCUAUCUAUCUAUCUAUUUUACGUGGUGCUGGGGAUCCAACCCAGUGCCUCACAUGUGCUAGGCUAGUGCUCUACCACUGAGCCACAACCAGUCCUGCUACUUUAUUUUUAGUACUUGGAAUGUAAGUCUUAUCUCAACUGUUAGAUUCUGAGCUGCUUGUCUUACAUCUCUAUAUUUCCUGAAUAACUUCCUCUAUGCUUGAUAUAUAAUAAGAAAUCAACAGUAAGUACUUAUGAGUGACUAAACUGCCAUCAGUGGGGACAAGGGAUCUUUGAUGUCCUCACAACAAAUCAACAACAGCUACUGGGAACAUGGAGGGAUCACACUAAUUCCUAUAAAGUACAUCAUAGACAUCCCCCAGGGCCCUUGUUACACCCCUCAGAUACUGCUAGUCAAUCAUGGCACUCUUUUCUCUCUGAACAUGGAUAUGGCAUCUGAGCCUGGUCAGCACAGUACCAAAGAGCCACCUCCAUUGAUUGGAGUUCACAAUGGAGAAUGAGCUUUAUUUUUUCCAGCUAGAUCUAAGGGCCCCAUUUUACAGAGGAGGAAACAAAGGCCAAGAGAAGUCCAGAGAUAGAAUCAGGUAGAGCAAUUCCUGAAAACAGCUAAGUAGCCAAUCUAGGCACAGCAUACAUUCAUCUACAGCACUGCAUGAUACUUUGCUAGAAGCCCCUGUGAGAUCUUAACCAGAUCUUUAGUCCUACUUCAUUGGUUCCAAAAACCAAUCUUGAGACUCUGGGAACUUGGGGACUCUCCACUCAGUUCAAGAGUGACUCCUUGAAAUUUAGAGAUGUACUCUUCAUGUCAGGUCAAUUUCACCAUGUGGGCCAGCAGAAGGCCGAGGGACCAGGCAGGUCAGGGGUGAAUCCCACUUCUGUAUCUAUUAGCAGGCAAGUCACAUCUGUGAACCCCAGCUGCAAAAACCUAUAAAAUGGGGAUAGUUAGACUCAUCGCACAAGGUGACUGCAGGGGACCCUUGAAGAUAGUCAGUAAAUGUGAGUCUCCCCUUCCUUGCAGUGUGGGGAAGUAAGGACAUUCAGGGGGCCUCUUUGCUCUUACCCUCCACAAACACAAACACUUUCUCCCCAUCUCUAAGGUAGGCUUUCCUUUUGAGGUUAUUUAACUGAGAUAUACAAUACGUUAAUGAGUAUUAGUCUGCCAGUAAUCAUUUAUAAAUUAUAAUACUAAAUUGAAAGAAAGAAGUGGAACUUCUUCCUUAAUCCUGGACUGUCAUCCCCAGUGCUUAAGCCUCAGGCACAGUGGUUUUCAGCUGGUCUGUUCUAACUUAGGGGCCUGUGCUGAGCUCUGCAGAGGUGACUGGGACUGUGGACCAGGGGAGCACUGUGUCAGCACCGGGUGUGGACAUGAUUGUGCUUCUGACUAAACACAGGUAAAAACAUCCUGCUUCCCCAAACUUGCCCUACCCAGGCAGGUUGUACACAUGGCUCCCUUUUAGACUUUCCAAAAUUGGAUGCGACAGAAGCCUGUCUUCUAGUAGCCUUUCCCUCUUCACCCCCCAAUAAAAGAUGUAUCCCAUCACAAGAUAGUGAUUUCCAAACUUUUAAAAUAAUUUCCUUACCCGGUAUAUCCUGGGGAAAAAAAAAUCAGGCUAUUUUUUUUAGGAAAAAAAAAGAAGAUAAAAAUAACCCAUAAUCCCACAACCCCCCAAAAUGUCUGCUUAACAUGAUGAUGCAUAUUUUAAACAUAAAUAUAUAAUAUGUAUUUUAAAAUGAGAAUCUUGUACCUAUUUCAAUUUCUCAAUUAUUUGACUUAAAAAUCACUAGUGAAAAAUUUUAGUAUUAAAAGUGAGUCUUCCAUUCCAUCAUCUCUACUGGCAUUAAGCCCAUCAUAUAUGCUCAUGUACUUGGUAACCUCUAAGAUAGCUCUUAUUUUUAUAAUAUUAAUAUGACUAUAAUGAAUAGUAAAUUAAACAUGCCUGUAUUAAUUCUCUUGGGGUAAAUUCUAAGAAGCAUAAUUAUUGACCAAGUAUAAUUAUUGACCAUUUGAUAGAUAUUGUCUUGUUGACCUAUAAGCAUCCCUCUCCUAUAAAAGAUAUUUCAGGGGAUACAUGUGGUAGUUUCUUUAUUUUCAGUAGCUAUUAAUUGAAGAAAGCAUAGUAAAAAGCCACCAUGAUUCAGUUUUGAUGAUAAAUUAAGUUGUACUAAACACAAUAGAAUCAGUAUACAUUUUUAAAACAAACCAUUUGUAUUCAAAACAUAUUACUUGCCCAAUCCACCUGCAAUCCUUGGAAUGCUCAGGACCUUGCUCGCCACUUGCAGCUGCUAUGGAUUUUCAGAAUUGUAUUCUGUGGAUCCAGGUCCCCAAAACAGUAGGUCUCACAUAUAAAUUUUUUGUCCAUUUCUCAAAGAGUUAUCUUAAGGGCCAUCUUCUCUAAUAACUGCUCAUCUCUUCCUGUAGUUUCUGCCUGCAAUGAUGGGACUGUCUGGAGAUUCUUGACUGGAAAGAGAAAUGAAAAUCAGGACCUGUGGAUGGAGACUACAAGUAGUAUGGAGGAAGGGAAGAGGAGGUGUUUGUUUCAAUAAAUAAUCACUUU